ACGGGUGAGUAAUGCCUAGGAAUCUGCCUGGUAGUGGGGGACAACGUUUCGAAAGGAACGCUAAUACCGCAUACGUCCUACGGGAGAAAGCAGGGGACCUUCGGGCCUUGCGCUAUCAGAUGAGCCUAGGUCGGAUUAGCUAGUUGGUGAGGUAAUGGCUCACCAAGGCGACGAUCCGUAACUGGUCUGAGAGGAUGAUCAGUCACACUGGAACUGAGACACGGUCCAGACUCCUACGGGAGGCAGCAGUGGGGAAUAUUGGACAAUGGGCGAAAGCCUGAUCCAGCCAUGCCGCGUGUGUGAAGAAGGUCUUCGGAUUGUAAAGCACUUUAAGUUGGGAGGAAGGGUUGUAGAUUAAUACUCUGCAAUUUUGACGUUACCGACAGAAUAAGCACCGGCUAACUCUGUGCCAGCAGCCGCGGUAAUACAGAGGGUGCAAGCGUUAAUCGGAAUUACUGGGCGUAAAGCGCGCGUAGGUGGUUUGUUAAGUUGGAUGUGAAAUCCCCGGGCUCAACCUGGGAACUGCAUCCAAAACUGGCAAGCUAGAGUAUGGUAGAGGGUGGUGGAAUUUCCUGUGUAGCGGUG
rnacentral:rRNA from 76 species